rnacentral:lncRNA from 13 species
UGCUGUUCUGUCAGCGCAGAAAGGAAAGCCAGAGCAAACUCAGUUGACUCCUGCCCACAGAGGGAGCAUUUCAACCAGCCCUAGACAGAGGGGAAUGGCUGAUCCUAGAGGCCAGAAGGGAACCUGCUGCCUUGAACUCUAUGGAUUUUGCUGCUAACUGAAGACCCCUUGGGCUCUGCGUAACAAGCAGCAAUACCCAGGAUCUGGGUGUGAGAAAAGAGGAUGAAAAUGAAGAAAGCAUGGGAGAAGAAAGAGUUGUUAAAGGAAUAUUCAUUAUAAGUUAUGAAUUUGGCCCAAUAAAGAGAAUUGAAC